GGGACGCUGGCGGACAGAAUGGUACGAGAUGACAGGUCACGGCAUCGGACGGCAGUGAACCCGUCGGCUUUUAAUCCGUAGGUUCUGGGUUCGAUUCCCAGGCGCCCUA
rnacentral:tRNA from 1 species